rnacentral:lncRNA from 1 species
AAAAGAAAAAAAAAAAAGAAAGAAAAGAAACAGUUAUCAUUUAUAUCUCUGUUGAGUUUGGAUCCUAUUCGGUUGGGACGUGUUCUGGAGAGGUCUAGUCUUCCCAUCAUGGCUAGAUGUUACUGGCGCUACAGCCAUGCUUAUCAUAUAUGUAGAUGGGAUCGACUGAAUCCUUCCGGGGUAUCUAAUUGACCAAGACAUCUACAGUGGGUGGUCUAACUAAGAUUGUCAUUUGUGCAUUGAUGAACCUGCAAAAUCAUUCUUCAGAUCCCUUUAUCUUUUCCUUCUUAAUCAUGUACUUGCACGUGUCCAAUUCGAUUCUAAUUACAAUCAUAUGGGAUCAAUUGGAACCCUAAGGAUCAUGAACGAUAUCUGACAUGGCAACGAAUUCGGUACCACUCUGGAAUUUAAAACCCACACAAUUAUCGUUAGUACUGAUCUAAUAUUCCCAAACUGCUGACUAGGUAAAAACCUUAGCCAGUAAAUU